rnacentral:rRNA from 1 species
CAGUAGCCGCGGGAAUACGAAGGGGGCUAGCGUUGUUCGGAAUUACUGGGCGUAAAGCGCACGUAGGCGGAUAUUUAAGUCAGGGGUGAAAUCCCGCUGCUCAACUGCGGAACUGCCUUUGAUACUGGGUAUCUUGAGUAUGGAAGAGGUAAGUGGAAUUGCGGGUGUAGAGGUGAAAUUCGUAGAUAUUCGCAGGAACACCAGUGGCGAAGGCGGCCUACUGGUCCAUUACUGACGCUGAGGUGCGAAAGCGUGGGGAGCAAACAGGAUUAGAUACCCGGGUAGUCCCUGUCUCUUAUAC